ACUUGCCUCUAGGCGGGGGACAACCACUGGAAACGGUGGCUAAUACCGCAUAAUGUCUACGGACCAAAGUGGGGGACCUUCGGGCCUCACACCUAGAGAUGGGCCCAAGCGGGAUUAGCUAGUUGGCGAGGUAAUGGCUCACCAAGGCGACGAUCCCUAGCUGUUCUGAGAGGAUGAUCAGCCACACUGGGACUGAGACACGGCCCACACUCCUACGGGAGGCAGCAGUGGGGAAUAUUGGACAAUGGGGGCAACCCUGAUCCAGCCAUGCCGCGUGUGUGAAGAAGGCCUUCGGGUUGUAAAGCACUUUCAGUGGGGAGGAAAGGGUAGUUAUUAAUACUAACUACAGUUGACGUUAGCCACAGAAGA
rnacentral:rRNA from 1 species